AAACUGGAGAGUUUGAUCCUGGCUCAGAACGAACGCUGGCGGCGUGCCUAACACAUGCAAGUCGUACGAGAAAUCCUGGGCAACCGGGAGAGUAAAGUGGCGCACGGGUGAGUAACGCGUGGGUAACCUGCUCUUGAGUUGGGGAUAACUCCGCGAAAGCGGGGCUAAUACCGAAUAAUAUUCCGGAUCCUUCGGGAACUGGAAUCAAAGGUGGCCUCUGCAUGCAAGCUACUGCUCAAGGAUGGGCCCGCGUACCAUUAGCUUGUUGGUAGGGUAACGGCCUACCAAGGCAACGAUGGUUAGCUGGUCUGAGAGGAUGGCCAGCCACACUGGAACUGAGACACGGUCCAGACUCCUACGGGAGGCAGCAGUGGGGAAUCUUGCGCAAUGGGGGAAACCCUGACGCAGCAA
rnacentral:rRNA from 1 species